AGAAAACUAUCUCACAAGAUCUGGAGUUGGAAUCACUUUUUCCAGGCAUGUCUCCAUGAUCUGGAGUUGGAGAAUGGUAUUGGUCUUCUGAACAAAGGUUCUGCCAUUGGUAUUGGAUUUGGAACUUUGGGAUCGAACCUGCUUUAGUUAGACUUACAUAGGAUCUAGAAAGCAACUAGAAUAAGGGGAUUGAGUUUAUGCUUUCGGCCAGGGGAGGCAGCAUUCUAUCAUGGAUUGGACAUGAUUAUUUUGUUAUGGAUGAUAAGACUGCUGCACAUCAUGAGACAACCUAUAAAUUGCCCUUUGGGUUCCCGAGUUAAUUUGAUGAAAUCAUGGACAAUAUGCAGGCAGUAGGAAACCUAUUACUUCAGAUGGCUGUCAAUUCAUAUAUGUCAUGAUAUAUGUGUUCCUGCUGUGAGAAAUUGGAGGUUUUCUAAAUUUGCCUUGGUUGCACUGAUAACUUCUAAAGUAAGGAAUCAAUCAUGAAGUUUAUGAAACUUGAUACUACUGAUAACUUUUCACGCUAUAAGGUAAAAGCACACCUGAUUAAAUAUGAAAGCAUUUUUAAAAUAUGCUGCAUCAUUAAUGAAUUAUGAAUAGAAGGUUGUUACUAAAUGACUCUUUUUUCCUUUUUAAAAUUUUUUUUUUUCCGCUGCUAAUUUCUUUUUAAGUUUCAGGUGAUCUCAUAAUUCAAGUGAAGGGAAGUAGAUAUUUGCUUCACAAGGUCACACAUUGCAGCUUCAAGCAUUCUUCAAAUCUUGCAUACUCCAUGGCUGGAUGGACAAAAUUUCCACUCUUACACUCUACAAAGCACGAAGCUGACAACCUUUCAGAUCAGUUCACACGAAUGAGCUUCGUGGUUGUUGUACAUAGUGUUAAAUGAACAUGUGAAAUUUUUUUUUCAAACUGAAAACUUCAUUUGAUUAUGGGUAGUUGUUAGUUCACUUAGAACGACAGAAAUUGAUAACUGUUAUGCACCCUUAAAUGCAGUUAUUUUUGUCUAUACAAGCGGUUUCAUUUGUAAUAAUACCAAGUCCCGCAGCA